rnacentral:rRNA from 1 species
AACGAACGCUGGCGGCAUGCCUAACACAUGCAAGUCGAACGAGACCUUCGGGUCUAGUGGCGCACGGGUGCGUAACGCGUGGAACCUGCCCUUAGGUUCGGAAUAACUCCCCGAAAGGGGUGCUUAUACCGGAUAAUGUCUUUGGACCAAAGAUUUAUCGCCUUUGGUUGGGCCCGCGUUGGAUUAGCUAGGUGGUAGGGUAAAAGCCUACCAAGGCGACGAUCCAUAGCUGGUCUGAGAGGAUGAUCAGGCACACUGGGACUGAGACACGGCCCAGACUCCUACGGGAGGCAGCAGUGGGGAAUAUUGGACAAUGGGCGAAAGCCUGAUACAGCAAGGCCGCGUGAGUGAUGAAGGCCUUAGGGUUGUAAAGCUCUUUUACCCGGGAUGAUAAUGACAGUACCGGGAGAAUAAGCUCCGGCUAACUCCGU